CUACAUUACACUCUCUUGAGACCCUGCUGACAUCUCAUUCAGUGCGAGUAGGAAGCGCCCCUGCUUCCCCACCUCAUUCAUUAAUUCAAACGCUAGAGAAAUGACAGGGACGUGCAGCAUCCUUCCACUUAUUCCAGCGCUGCAGCACCAAACUCUUCAGUGAUUCCUGCUAUCUUUCCCAGGCUUCUCAACCCUAUCACUUCUUAGAACUGCACUGUCCUGUUAUGACUGUCUCCCUACCCCUAACUUGUCUUAGCUGUCUCCCCAGUGUCCUGUGUAUAAUGGGCUUUAUCCCAUCCGGAGGGAACAGUUUAUCUCUGGAAGAAUGACAUGUUCAGCUUCAUCGGCUUCUACUUUAAACUAAGUUUUAAAUUGAACAUUUUGACAUGAUGCUUGGCUCCUUUGGAUCUACUUGAUAGCACAGCCUACUGUAAAGAAUGAAAGAGCAAUCAGGCCUCUGACAUGAAAGAAGAGAUUAAUGUGGCAAUCCAGGCAAAAUCGGAGCAGAUGAUCGUUAUGCAGGCAUCUACCUGUUCCUUGUGUCCGGGGCUCGCCAUGUGAGUGAAUAGUGCAAUCCAUUCAAGUGUGAAAGGUUCGCCAAUUAAGGACUGGAAAAGGGCAAAUUGAAUUAAAAAGCAAAUGGAAGAUUAAAGAGAAGAAGUGCUUUAUUGCUAUUGUCCUGCAUAAGAUAAAACAUUUCCUUAUUGCUUUUCCAAUGAAAGAAAGAUACUUAAUGAUCAAAAGAAACCCUAAUAUUAUGCCUGACCAGCUUCUUUGGCCAAUAUACUUUAGAAGGACAUUGCUCCAUGUUGUAUGAACACACUCAUUAUCUGACCUUCACCAUCCAGCACAUCUUUACCCAGGCUAGGGAAACAAAACACAGCAAUAUAUCACUUUUUGAUAAGUGAAUAUGAGGACAGUAGUAAAAUGUACAAAUAAAUGCAGUUAUAGGUGCACUAUCAUGUUCAUGUGGCACUGCAGGUGUAUAUGUAUGUGUCCCUCUCUCUGUCUCACAGAAAUGAAACAGUUGCAACCAGUGGAGGAGGCCAAACUGCAUUAAAGCUGAUGAGGUUCCCUUACAGGAUAGCUCUCUGUAUACAUGUUAUGAACAAAAACUAGAUUUCUAUUAUAAGUUAAAUGCAUUUGAAAUACCAACGUGGUUCUUUUAAGAAACAAAUGUUUUUUAAGAACCAUUACACAAAAAAUAUAUAUUUAUGAUCCAUAAGUUUUUAAUGCAUUAAAACAUAUCCUCAUAUUUGUCUAUCUUUCCUUAUAUCUAAGGUCAGAGACAAAUACAUUGGUAAUUAGGCAACAAAAUAAAGAGAAACAUAUGCUCAUAAGUAAACAAAUCAUCAGCAUCUCACCCGUAGUAUAGAUGGGCCCAGGUGCUCAUGCCCCAGACCUUCAGCUUAAGGGAGCCAUCAUGGAUACAUCACAAAGGUAGAAAAAAGGCAGCCACUCCAGGAUUUUAGUGAAAAAAAGGCAGUUGUUCACGAAAGAGUGAAGUAAAAUCACAAAAGGUUUAUUAUACUAACACAUAAUACAUUAAGGUACCUUAUUUUAAAAUAUCAUUGAACUUCAAGGGGACUUCUUAUUUCAUGGAUAACAUUGCCGAAAUAUAAACCCAUAUCCAUAUCCUUUACAUUCAGGCACCACUGAAAUACUUUGCAAUUCUUUUACACAUUUAAAACCUAUAGUUUGAGUCUAUACCCUCCUUUGGACAAUGCUUGAAAUCUGCCCACUUUUACCAGCAAAUGUCAUUUGUAUGUCAUACAGUGGUGCCAGCCCCCCUGCAAAAAAAAGAAUCUUCAGAGGGGUCCAGCACAUACAGUAAACCCUCACUGCCUGCCCUGGUCCCUGUCUGCUUAUGUGAUAAGAAAGCAGCUGGGGAGGGGUGAUUUUCAUAGCUAUAGAGGAAGCUGUCCCAGUGGUCUAUAAAUGUAAUAUUUGAAGCAUUUAACUUCACUUUCACACAUCACGCUCUGCUAUAAGAAUAUCAGUAGGAUUGUCAGAGGCAUCCUACCCACUUCUGUUAAAUGCAAUAAUACUGGGAGCCAUAAAAAAAACUCAUUGGCAGCUUGUAAUAUUACACUUAACAGAAAGGCUUUCUUAAUAAAUUAAAAAUGUGUCCCUGCACAGUCACCAAGACCUCCAUAAAUACAGUAGAAUUUGGUUCUACAAUAUGAAAAUAUAAUUAAAGCAAGGUGCAUAACUGAUUGUAAGCCAAAUUUGGGCCAUAAAGCUGAUUCUGUAACUUAAUUUAGCUUUCUCGAGAAAAUCUGCAGUAAGGAUUAUAUUUAUUGAUGUUAUAAUUGAAUGAUUAACAUAUAAAUGAACAUUUAUGUAUAUGCUAAAAAUCUACAGGGGUUUUAGUGAAAUUGAGGAAUAUUUGCUCCAUUUUUAUCCAUCUUUUUAAAUUCCAUACAGAGCAGAGAUUAUACAUCAUUCAUAGCAGCCCAGAAGAGGCACGUACCUAGGGUGCAAGGAUGGUGGGGGUGCUAGGACCCUAGGCACAUACCUCCUCUAACACUUUGCAAUGGAUAUUCCGGGCAGGGACUGGAUAUGAGGGUCAAAUUGCUGAGCAGAGUUAGAGAGUUGGUGAGCUCAAACAGCAGGGUGAAAGUAGUUUUUGAGUGGAGGUGGGCGGGGUGAGGCUGGGGGCCUGCCUAAUGUGUUGGCCUGGCUCUGCAUCAGAUGAUGCCCCAGUGGAGCCUACAAUCUAGUCCCUAUCACAUUCACACAAAGGGAAGUUACAUUAGGAAGUAGCCUGCCUGUGUGUUUAUUUAGUAUGUGAGUGAAGCCAAACAAGCACGGGGUAAACAUACAACCUUCUUACAGAUAGGACUUUCUCACAUUUACUUUCCAACUGGGAGCUAAUAAUUUGCUAAAAUUAACUUUAUGCACAUUUCCAAGUUCCUUGCAGAAAUAUUGAGAUAUAUGACAUAGCUUCACACACAAUUGAAAGCAUGAUUUUUUUUCGGUGGCAAAUUGGAAAUAAAGCAAUCAGUGAUGAGUUGGGCUUGCUUCCCACAUCGCCUGUGCGCCAUGCAGAAAACUUCACGUCUGAGAGACAGGAAACAGUCUGGUAAACAAACUUAAUUAAAACAUUAAGAAGAAACUUCACUUCGGAUGACUUCAUUUGGAUGUGCCUUGCUGGAGAGGUAGCCACAAUUAUGUAGCGAGUAACUCAGGGUGCUUCUCUGUAAAUCAUUUCAUACAGAAAGCAGCAUCUUUGCAGCCGAGAAACAUACAUAAUUUACAAGAAUCUCUUGAAAUGUAAGUCAUGUUGGUUAUUUAUUGAUACUGAUUUCGUGGACAUAGUAUCCUGCCUUUUCUGGUGUUAUCAUGAGGAAACAUCUACUGGCAACAUACAUAUUUCCUUUUAUUAUAUCCGCUUGUAUUUCAUGAUCUACUCUACCGUCUUGUGUCAUUUUAUAUAUACAGUGCUUUGACAGGUU